ensembl:lncRNA
CUUUUAAAACCUCCCAGGACUAAGCUCAGUACAAUGGGAGAUCGGGCUUUCUGCUCAGCUGCUCCAAGUCUGUGGAAUGCUCUCCCUGACCACCUGAGGAAACCACAGACUGGAUGCUUUUAAACGUGGCCUAAAAACCCACCCUUUUAGGAGAGCUUUUUAGUGAACUCGUUUUGUUUUUGUUUUCAAACUCUCCGUGUGUUUUUAAUGUUAGCACUUACCUGUUUUAUCAUGUAGCACUUGGGGAUUUUCUUAAAUAUAAAGUGCAUUACAAAUUAAAUGUAUUAUUAUUAUUAGAAGGUGUGUGUUCCACUGUCAGGUCCACAUAAAUACACAUGGACGCUACAUUUUACUGUAGCUAUAGCAAAUAGCAAGGGAGUGGGGGACAUCUGUCACGGUUUGGGUUUGUUUCCGGUUUUAUUUUGUAGUUUUCUAAGAUUGCCCAAGGCUGACUCUAUUUCAGGAUGCUGAUUGGCUAAAUUAUAUGCCACUCAUUUAUAUCUUUAAUCAGUAAUUGGCUAAACUGCUUCUUCGACCUGCCUCUUUUAGGGCCUGAUAAAUUCUGUCCUCUGAGCCAUGCAGACAGGCAGAGAGGACGUGCAGGAAAAGCAUAUAUUUUGGCGCAGAUAUCUUAUUUUACAAAUAUUACUGGGUAUAUUCCAUAUUUCAAAAACAUAAAUAUUGACAAAAUGAUAUAUUUUUUCUUUUUUUUUGUGGCCAGCUGCCAAUGGCCCUAACACAUUUCUAAUGUAUGUCUUAAAGCUACUUUGUUCUGUGUUCUGACAGAAACAAAUUCACUGUCCAGCUCAUAACGUGUCUUUAAUCCUUCUAUCUGUCAGGUACUGUGUAGGAGAAUCUUUUCCCGUAAAGAGAAGUAGUUCAGCCUUGUCGGGGUUGAUUUUCAGAUGGUGAGUGGACAUCCACUGAGAGAUGUCAGUCAGACAGGCAGAGAUCCGAGUGAGGGAAGGGAAGAGUUAGUUGGGUGUCAUCAGCAUAGCUGUGGUAGGAGAAGUCAUGCGAGCGAAUGACAACGCCGAGAGUUGGAAUAUAACAUAUACAGUAUGUUGAAUUUCUGCCGUCCUGAUGUUGACCGGGAGCUCAGGUUGCUACAAUAAUAGUAACACAAGGGAACAUUAUUCAUGAAACACUGUUCUUAGCAAGUUAACCUGGUACUUUUUAAAAAACAAUGCACAAUGAAUACAUUUAAAUAAAUGAGAACAACAUUGUGAUCUCAAUCGGGACACUCUCCCGAAAGAAUCAAAGCUGCCCUGUCAAGCUGACCAAUAUUGAGAUUUCUCGAAGUUCUCUCCUCAAUAGUAUUGACAUGUCUUAGUAAAACAAUACAUUUUGGAAAAACAGCCGUAGCUUAUCCAGAUGCUGGAGGUCCAGACUGUUCAACUGAUUUAAAUUACUGUAGAUAUUAUAGACCUUUUGUGUGGAAGAAAAUUCUCUAUCUACCUUUGUAUGAAUGGUCAGCCUGAUCUCCAAAACCUGUUCGGAAAAAUACAAAAAUAUAAUGUACGAAAAUCUUGAAGAUACAAAUUCGUAGUGAUACAUACUAAAUAAAUAUGGACUGGCAACUGAUGACGUCACCCUAUUCAAAGUGAAUGGGGACCUGCACCCCGUAAACACACUUCGUGAAGUCUAACGAUGUAAAAUAAACGUGUUAUGAUUGCAUUUUUUAACAAGAAAUCAAUGUUAAAUUGUAAGAAUACAAUACUUACCCUAACCCCCUCAAAAAAUCCAACAUGGCGGAGGGACGUACACUCGAGAAUCCAACAUGGCGGAGAGACGUUCACUCAAGGGGCGUGGUUAACCAGUUAGUAUGUAUUGUUACAAAUUUCUAUGUCAAAUAUUUCGCAUACAUUUUUACGAACAGGUUUUGGAAAUCACGUUGGAAUGGUUGCAGUAGAACAGCCUCUAUUGACAUUCAGAAAGAAAAAAUAAAUCCCCAUAAAUAAUCACAUUAAGAGAAGUGGCCUCUUUUCUGUUGCGUUUUUCAACAUUAAGUUCCAUUCAUCUAUUUAGUUUGUUCUUGUUUUAAUCUCCAGGAAGUAGAGGUGGGACAGAAAUAGGGGCUCUAACACACACACACGUACAGACAGACAGACUCACACACACAGCAAGUUCCUCCAUAAUUGGGAAGGAAGGUAAUGGAGUUAUACCCGGGUCUGUCGAUGAAAAAGAUAAGAUGCUGGCACACACAAUGUGUGUGUGUGGGUGUGUGUGUGAGAUAGAUGUGAAGAUAAAGUUUGGUGGCACAGAAAGUAGUUCACACCAUAUAUUAUAGUUUUGUCCAGUAUUAACAAUCCCACUCCCUUCCUGCCAUUCAAACCCUUUUGACUUGUGACCUUAGUGUGUGCAAGUGUGUGAAUGUCUGUCCCUAAGAGAGACAAAGAGAGAAAGAAAGUGAGUAAAAGAGAGAGAGAGAGAUACACAGGGAGAGUCAGAGAGGAGAGAAAGAAAUACAAAGUCAUUUUAAUUCUGAUACAUCUGUUUAUCUUUGUAGUGUUAUUGCUUAAACCAAAAGUUAACUUCUUCUUAUGGGGCAAUUCUACGCAUUCCAGCCACCACCAGGUAAUGCCCUGUUUGUGGGUCGUGAAUAUUAAUCAUAAAUGUGUUAGGAGUAUAUGUUUAGAUGUCAACUUGCCAGAGCAUUCUGUUAGCUCAAAGGUUGUGUUAUUGUUCUGGUAGUUGGGUAAAAAAACCUCCGUGCCUGUAUGCCUUUCUUCAAACCAUCGUCAAACCAUUAAACCAUCGUCUUCUUGUAGAGGGGACAAAUAGCAGAAAAAGGGUAUUCUCUGUUAAGGUGUGACACUUGCUGUCAUAUUAUUACAUAAAAAUGCUGACUAAUUUUUUGUAGGAAUUGGUUUUUUACAAGUGGGUUUACAUGACUGUGAUACAGUCAGCGCACUGUGUACCUGAACUACACUGCUUUAUUUUAACUGUAAACAACAUAAAAAUUAAAAACCUCUACACCGUGAAAUUAAUAUAUACAGUAUGUAAACACAUAAACAGAGGAGUGACAGAAGUUGAGGAGACAACUUUUAUACACUACAAGUGAUUGCACUAUAAAGAACCCGACGGGUAACCAAAGUGUUUUACACUCCAAUAGCCUUUUAUCUUCGCAACAAAGCAAAAAUGAUAUAUUUUUUAAUUUAUGGUCUAAUGCUGAGAUCCAGACUCACACUUUUGAAUUACCCAGACUGUUAUUGUUGCAACAUCUUGUUGUUAAGCCUGCUGAAUGUUUUACACUGUAAGCCUGAUCUCAUUUUAAGAAGUCACAAGAUUCAUUGUUUUUCUUAUAAAAUAUAAAACUCUGAGAAGGUCUGAAUUUGGCUCAGCUUUCAAGUGGCCUCAGUCUGUCAUAACAACUAGUGUUAACAGUUGAAAUAUUCUUGUAGCUCCCACUGUUUAUUGUGUCAUGAUGGGCUACAUUUAUUCUUCAUUGGAAAGAAUACAAGUAGUUUAUUUUGAGUGGUAAAAUAUUUAAAAAUGUCCCAUUGAGCCUGCGUUUCCACAGACGCACAACCGACCCGUCAGGUUUUCAUUUAACUCACUUGAGUGUCCUCUGUGGGUCAACAAUAUUCUAACUGUCUACGAGUGGAUAACUGCGAACUAUAGCAACAGAGAUUAGAAACAGGUGUGUGUGCGUGUGUGUGUGUGUGUGUGUGUAUGUGCGUGUUUGUCAAAGUGUGUCGGUGUUAUUGCUGUGUUAUUCUUUUCGACAUCCAUGAAAUUGUGUUAAAGCUGUUACAAGCAGUCCCACAGACACAUACUGCAUGAAUGUAACUACCCAAAUUUGUGUGAUUAAUUUGCUUUUCUGUCGUAUAUACUGUAUUGUAUUGACCCGCACCCACUCAGCUUAGGAAAAUAAAAAUAAGUUUACAAUUUAACAAAGCACUCUUGGCACUUUAAAGUCAUUGAUGCCUGUGUAUUAUCUGUUAUAUUUUUAUUUAUUGUCUUUUAUAUGUAUUUAAUGUCCUGAUUUAAACCAGUAAUUUAGUUUUACCUUGUUACCGCUGAACUGACUGAUGAUUCGCCAAUUACACUUUUUUUUUGUUCGUCUUUUUACAAUGACAAUAAGUAUACUUAUCCUUGUGUCUGUCUCCUUGCAUAUCUCCCUGUAAAUGAACUUGUUACAUCUACUCAUCAGUUUUAUUUUGGUUCAGUCAAUAUAUGGUCUUGAAAACUUUUCCACUAUAUCUGACCGAAAUAUUUGGGGGUUUCAUCUACUUUUGAAUAUGUAUCUGGAAAGGAGCAUAUCGACUAUCAUGGGGCAACCCUCCCCACCCCCGAUUCAAUCACCUUUCACUACAACCACUUCAGGUCAAGUGUUCAUGUAGUAUUACUACUAUUAUACUACAUCAUCAUAGAGAAACUAAGAAUAAUGUAACCUGCAACUAGAGCCGGAAAUAGAAACAGCUUGGAAAGCUCUUUCGUGUAGUUUGCGUGGACACAAAAUCUCAGGAGCCAAACCAAACCAUUAAAUAUUUCAGUUGCGACAGAGAGGGUUGUACGAGUGUGCGUGGUUCCAUAUGAGUUUGAGUAAACCUUUUUAAAGUAACCCCUUCACCACCUGACCUUCCGCUAACUCCGAGCAUGCCUGUCAGAUAGGAUGCCUAUCCGCAUGAAUAGUUUUUUUAUGUAACCUCGCUGGCUGCAGUGAUGGACUUUGUGUGUUUGUGCGUGUGUGUCCGUGAGGGAGACAGAAACAGAGAGGCAGAGUUACUACUUCUCUCCUCUCUCCUGGUUAUGAAAACACAGCGACCGCCAGCACUGGCAGACACUUAAUCUAGCUAAUAUUAAAUCCAUGAAAAACACACAUUAUUCUUUACAUGGUUGUCCAUUUUGAAAUGUAAACAUGGGAAAGAAACAGUCAAUCACUUGGGACAAAAUAUUUAAUGGAUAUGAAGCUACAUUAUUGGGAUCACUUCUUACACUAUUAGGAGAAUGUUUUCAGUGGAAUCUGCUGUAUCCAGGGGGAUAUUCAGGUUCGGGAGGUUGUCGUAUCAAUUAUUUGACAUCUUGAUUCACUUUAUUAAAGAGCUGUGUGCUUUGUGAAGCAUUAUAGCUUUCAGCAAACUAUGAAAACAUCUAAAAGCUCUCAGACACAGACAAUAAAGAAGUGUAUGACAAACUAAAUCAUUUUGUUUAAUAAAUUAUGAAUCACUAAAUUACAGGUACAGUACCAGUUAAAAGUUUGAACACAUUUUCUCAUUCAAUUUAAUGAGAAAGUGCUUCCAAACUUUUGACCGGUACUGUACAAACACAUACCUGAUAGAAAUGUGACAGAAAACCUACUGUUUUUUUCUUUCUCCCUAGCGUUUCUGGUUAUACAUUUCCCAUAAACUAAGGAAAAAGACCGCAGAGAUGCAGCCUGUGCCAUGUUGUAAUAACUUGGAACUAUGCAUCAAAAACAAUAUCUGUUCAACUGUGGGGGUCAGUCUGACGUUCGCCCUGUUAUUGCUGGGAAGUCAGAUGUUUAUCAGGCUAUCAGUCAGUCAU